AGAGUUUGAUCCUGGCUCAGAGCGAACGCUGGCGGCAGGCCUAAUACAUGCAAGUCGAGCGGUCCCUUCGGGGGCAGCGGCGGACGGGUGAGUAACGCGUGGGAACGUGCCCUUUGGUACGGAACAACUGAGGGAAACUUCAGCUAAUACCGUAUGUGCCCUUCGGGGGAAAGAUUUAUCGCCAUUGGAGCGGCCCGCGUUAGAUUAGCUAGUUGGUAGGGUAAUGGCCUACCAAGGCGACGAUCUAUAGCUGGUCUGAGAGGAUGAUCAGCCACACUGGGACUGAGACACGGCCCAGACUCCUACGGGAGGCAGCAGUAGGGAAUCUUGCGCAAUGGGCGAAAGCCUGACGCAGCCAUGCCGCGUGAAUGAUGAAGGUCUUAGGAUUGUAAAAUUCUUUCACCGGGGACGAUAAUGACGGUACCCGGAGAAGAAGCCCCGGCUAACUUCGUGCCAGCAGCCGCGGUAAUACGAAGGGGGCCAGCGUUGCUCGGAAUUACUGGGCGUAAAGGGCGCGUAGGCGGACAGUUAAGUCAGAGGUGAAAGCCCAGGGCUCAACCUUGGAAUUGCCUUUGAUACUGGCUGUCUUGAGUACGGGAGAGGUGAGUGGAACUCCGAGUGUAGAGGUGAAAUUCGUAGAUAUUCGGAAGAACACCAGUGGCGAAGGCGACUCACUGGCCCGUUACUGACGCUGAGGCGCGAAAGCGCGGGGAGCAAACAGGAUUAGAUACCCUGGUAGUCCAA
rnacentral:rRNA from 1 species